AUUGAACGCUGGCGGCAGGCCUAACACAUGCAAGUCGAACGAGUGGCGGACGGGUGAGUAAUGUCUGGGAAACUGCCCGAUGGAGGGGGAUAACUACUGGAACCGGUAGCUAAUACCGCAUACCAUCGGAUGUGCCCAGAUGGGAGUAGCUAGUAGGUGGGGUAACGGCUCACCUAGGCGCCGAUCCCUAGCUGGUCUGAGAGGAUGACCAGCCACACGGGAAUGGAGACACGGGCCAGACACCUAGGGGAGGCAGAAGUGGGGAAUAUUGCACAAUGGGCGCAAGCCUGAUGAAGCCAUGCCGCGUGUAUGAAGAAGGCCUUCGGGUUGUAAAGUACUUUCAGCGAGGAGGCGUUACUCGCAGAAGAAGCACCGGCUAAUACCGUGCCAGCAGCCGCGUAAUAC
rnacentral:rRNA from 1 species